rnacentral:lncRNA from 1 species
GAGAAACCCUUUACUGUUUAGGAAAGGUAAGAAGGGAAGGGACGCUGAGAAGGAUCUGUUGCAGAAUCUCCAGUGUGUUCUUCCUGUGUAGUACGGUAAAACAUUAAAGGUUAACACGUUUUAAUAAAAAUGAAACUCUGCUGAUCGAAUCCAUAGAGGUGAAACUAAAAUGUGGAUAAUCUGAAAACCAGCAAGUGUGGUAUAAGUUUGGUUCUGUAACUGUCACCAGUACUUUGGUGUUUAUGCACACACAUGAAAAUAGCGCAUCUCCUUCAGUUAAUUUACAGGAAUAUGGACAACUCAGGUUCAGUCAUAAUUUGUGGAGAAAACCUGUACCUCUCAAGAGCCUCUUCCAUUCAGCAGAGGGCAGUGAUCUUGCAUCCACACCGUCUCCUCCUCACAGACUUGUUUGGCCGCUUCAUCUCUGUGCAGAUCAUCAGGUGGUCACAGAAACUCAGCAUUAUGGAGAAUGGUCAUUCAGGAAUGGAGUCAUACCAAGAAAAUGCUGCCUUGUGGGGAUUCUUUAACCAAUUUCAGGCUCUGUGUAGUGGAAAACCUCAGGAGGGGAACCCAAGACUGCACUGUCAGUCCAAUCAUCAGAUAACAUUUGUUUUACUGCCUGAUUUGAAAACAUUCUCAUUUUGGAUGUCUCGAUUCAAUUGCAUUCAUAGGAAAAACUUCCCUUGCUCACCGUGUGGAUCCUCGGACUCUGUAAGUAAAGCUCAGAAUCUAAUGGACUCUCUCAUAUAUGAAAGAAUGCAUUAACUACAGGUCAGAAAAAUCUGUUUAUUGUGUUGUUUUAGUAUGGAGAGC